rnacentral:lncRNA from 1 species
UGAGGAACCAGGAGUUGGUCUCGAUGCUCCUUGUGGCACCCUUCCAGCUCAGGGUGCUCCAAGUGUCCUGCCAUGCCCCUGGGGGGGAACACCCCCAGGCACCACAACACGCUGCGGCCCACCCAGCCGGAGAGGGGCUCUGCAGGACCUGGGUGUCCUGCUGGACACAAGAUGUCCGUGAGCCAGCACAUGCCCUUGCUGCUAAGGCAGCUGCUGCUGUCCUGGGCGGUGUUAGGCAAUGCUGGGGGACAGGGUGCUGCUGCCUGGGGGACCCCAGGGUGGCAGGGGACAGUUGGCCCCAUGCCCAAGGCCACUUCCCCUCCCUGCGGACACGGGGCCCCGAAGCUGCUGGUGCGGGCUGUUGGCCCCAACGGCCAUCAGCCUCCGGGCAGCCCUGUGAGCGUUACACCACCACCCUAUUGCCUGCCGCCAUCCCCCGAUACCACUGCCCCGUCCCUGCAACCCAGCCACCACCAGCAGCAGCCUGUCCCCUGCCACCAUCACUGUCACGGCGUGAAGGGCCAUCAUGGCAUGGCCAGGGAGAAAACACUGCCUGCUUGUUCUUCCCGGUCAGACAGCCAGAGGCAGCCCCUGGCUGCAGUGUGUAUAUCCCAGCCUUCUCCUUAAUCCUCUGGGUGCAGACCCUGUCCCUAACCCCCAGCCUGACCCUCCCCUGUCCCAGCUCCAUGCCGUGCCCUCGGGUCCUGUCGCUGUCCCCAGAGAGCAGAGCUCAGCGCCUGCCCCUCCGCUCCCCUCGUGAGGGAGCUGCAGGCCGCCAUGAGGCCUCCCCUCAGCCUGCUCUGCUCGGGGCUGAACAAACCCAGCAAUUUAUGAAGAGAAGUGGCCCUAAAAUGGAGCCCCGGGGAACCCCAGAGGUGACCGGCCCCCAGAUGUCAGCCCCUUUAGCCCCCCCGGCAGGCAGCUGCCCGCCCUGCAUUGCGUUGUGCCCAGCUGCCCGCGGGGCAUUUUGUCCAGCAGGAUGCUGCGAGAAACAUAUGGAAAGCCCUGCUGGGAUCCAGCC